rnacentral:tRNA from 1 species
GCCUAAGUGGCGGAAUUGGUAGACGCGCUGCAUUCAGGGUGCAGUGGCCUUAUGGCCGUGUAAGUUCGAGUCUUAUCUUGGGUACAA